GUAGGUGGCAAGCGUUGUCCGGAAUUAUUGGGCGUAAAGCGCGCGCAGGCGGUUCUUUAAGUCUGAUCGUGAAAGCCCACGGCUCAACCGUGGAGGGUCAUUGGAAACUGGAGAACUUGAGUACAGAAGAGGAAAGCGGAAUUCCACGUGUAGCGGUGAAAUGCGUAGAGAUGUGGAGGAACACCAGUGGCGAAGGCGGCUUUCUGGUCUGUAACUGACGCUGAGGCGCGAAAGCGUGGGGAGCAAACAGGAUUAGAUACCCUGGUAGUCCACGCCGUAAACGAUGAGUGCUAAGUGUUAGGGGGUUUCCGCCCCCCUUAGUGCUGCAGCUAACGCAUUAAGCACUCCGCCUGGGUAGUACGGCCGCAAGGCUG
rnacentral:rRNA from 1 species